rnacentral:rRNA from 1 species
ACCUUUUGUAUAAUGGGUCAGCGAGUUACUUUCAGUGGCGAGGUUAACUGAAUAAGGGAGCCGUAGAGAAAUCGAGUCUGAAUAGGGCGAUAGUCGCUGGGAGUAGACCCGAAACCGGGCGAUCUAGCCAUGUGCAGGAUGAAGGUUGGGUAACACCAACUGGAGGUCCGAACCGGGUAAUGUUGAAAAAUUAUCGGAUGACGUGUGGCUAGGAGUGAAAGGCUAAUCAAGCCCGGAGAUAGCUGGUUCUCCCCGAAAGCUAUUUAGGUAGCGCCUCGUGAAUGAUUACUGGGGGUAGAGCACUGUUUCGGCUAGGGGGCUGUCAUGGCUUACCAAACCGAUGCAAACUCCGAAUACCGGCUAAUUGGAUCACGGGAGACACACGGCGGGUGCUAACGUCCGUCGUGGAGAGGGAAACAACCCAGACCGCCAGCUAAGGUCCCCAAGUACUAGUUAAGUGGGAAACGAUGUGGGAAGGCAUAGACAGCCAGGAGGUUGGCUUAGAAGCAGCCACCCUUUAAAGAAAGCGUAAUAGCUCACUGGUCGAGUCGGCCUGCGCGGAAGAUGUAACGGGGCUAAAACUAGUCACCGAAGCUGCGGAUGUGCGCGAAGGCGCACGUGGUA